AUUGAACGCUGGCGGCAGGCCUAACACAUGCAAGUCGAGCGGAUGACGGGAGCUUGCUCCUUGAUUCAGCGGCGGACGGGUGAGUAAUGCCUAGGAAUCUGCCUGGUAGUGGGGGACAACGUUUCGAAAGGAACGCUAAUACCGCAUACGUCCUACGGGAGAAAGUGGGGGAUCUUCGGACCUUACGCUCUCAGAGGAGAGUAGGUCAGAUUAGUAAGUUGGUGAGGUAAAGGCUCACCAAGGCGACGAUCCGUAACUGGUCUGAGAGGAUGAUCAGUCACACGGGAACUGAGACACGGUCCAGACUCCUACGGGAGGCAGCAGUGGGGAAUAUUGGACAAUGGGCGAAAGCCUGAUCCAGCCAUGCCGCGUGUGUGAAGAAGGUCUUCGGAUUGUAAAGCACUUUAAGUUGGGAGGAAGGGCAGUAAGUUAAUACCUUGCUGUUUUGACGUUACCAACAGAAUAAGCACCGGCUAACUUCGUGCCAGCCGCCGCAGUAAGAC
rnacentral:rRNA from 1 species